ACCACCAAAUUCAAUUAAACUACGCUACUUGACUUGCAUCAAAACACUAUGUAUUAGUUUCGAAUCUUAUCUCGCCUCCUUCGACAAUUCGUCUGUGUGUGAGUUGCAGCAAAGAUUUAACAAAAUCAGAUGGUUUAACCACGUUGUUGAUGUUGCUUCUGUGGCGGGAGCGGCGACGGCGGCAGAUCUUUGACAUGACGGCGAAGUAGAAGAGGAGGAGGAAGGCGGCGGCGAGGACGACGAUGAGAGCGGCCAUGAGAGGGAGAUGUGAGAAGAGGAGCCGUCAUCAUCACCGCCUCCUUCGUCGGGGUUGAGGAAGAGAGGUGGUGAUGGUGGAGGGAAUGGGGAGAAUUGAACUACAGUACGAAGAGAAAGCCCUGUUUGUAAAUUCUCACAAGGACCCGGUAAAAACCCAACCUAACACUUUAACAAUCCAUUUAUUUAUUAACCCUUUAAGAGCCCUGCCCAUUAAUAAAAAUAAAGGGCUGGGCCCGUUUUAAAAAGGGCUGGACCCGGGCUUUAAAUAGGCCUCCAGUCCAUUGAACAGGUAUAACGAGUAGAUACCCCUACUUGAUAUAUCCGUGUACAACCAACUUAGCUGUACCUCCGUCGAAAAUGACGAGCAGCUUGAAUUUAUUAAAAAAAAAUAAAAAAGCUAUAUCACGUGCUCUCUUUUUAACAAAAAAAUUGCAUAUAAAUUUUCCAAAUAUCAGAAACCUCUCAUUUUUGUUUUCUCACUGUCCAAAAGUUUCUCUCUCCUCAUUUGUAUGUGAGUUUUUUUCUAAUCUCGAGUAACAAUGUCAAUUGGAGAAUCCGUUUGCGUUUGCGCCGCCCUUAUCUUUCACAAGAAUGAUGUCGUUGCCACUAGCUUCCUUGGCUGCAGGUAGGGUUGCAAGAUCGUUUCCUCUGGCGUUUAACCACCUCGAUAAGCUUUGUUUGACACAACUUGACUUCAGUGUUGCAUAUGUACGUCGUUUUGUUUUUGGCAUCAAGGAUCUUGAAAUUUCAGUUAAACCAAACACUGAUACUUUUCAGCACAAAAUUGACUGGAAUGACAACUACAAGUUGAGCCAUCUUACUAGAGUGAAAUUUACAGGAAUUACUACAAGUUGAGCCAUCUUACUAGAGUGAAAUUUACAGGAAUUACUACAAGUUGAGCCAUCUUACUAGAGUGAAAUUUACAGGAAUUACAGGAUCAACUGCAGAAUUGGAACUAAUUGAGUACGAGCUUGCAAUUUCAGAAGCACUAGAAAUUUUUCUCUUCGAGUGUGGAUAUAUUGAUGACAGUUCUGAGCUAAAGAAGUCUAGAGAUCUGUUGAGGCUUCGGAGAGCAUCAACAAAGGCUCAACUUGUUUGUUUGGAGUAACAGAAGGUCUAAGAAUGGUCAUUUCAGAUCUGACAAUUAUAUUGCUGGUAAACUUUGGUAAUGUACUUUUCAUUGAAAUUUUCAUGACUGAUAAAAAAAACAUAUAUUGCAGAAACAAACUGCAGCACAAAGUGCAAUUUCAAUGUCAUCUUAUUUGUACGAAUAUCUAUCUUAAACGUGUUAGUGGACUAGACGUCUAACGUCUGAGACAUGUAUAAUUCACCAGAAGGAUUUCUUCCAUUUUUCUGAAUUUUCA